UUCUGCGCGUGGUGUCACUUGGGCCCACUCCAGGAGUUCUGCCUUGAUUGGCCUGGGGCGCAUCCUUAUGGGUAUUUUCAAAGCCUCCCAAGUGAUUCCACAGCCAAGGCUGAGGCCAUAGGCUGGCCAAGGGGGCUUUGAGGAAUGGUUUACGCCAGUGUUUCUCAAACUGUCAUUCAGAUCAGCCGGGGACGUGUUGAAAUGCAAAUUUUGAUUCCACCGUGGUGGGACCCCAGAGUGUCUGUCUCUGACAGCUGCCCAGUGAUGCGGCUGCUCGCUCUCGGACCACACUUUGAUCAGGAAAGAUCUAAGCCAAUGGUUCUCAAAGUGUGGUCCCUAGACCGCUGCGUCAGCAUCACCUGGGAGUCUGUUGGAAAGGCCAGUGUCCUGUGGUCUGCCCCAGACCUGGUGAGUCACAAACCCGAGGGGUGGGGCCCAGGGCCAUGCUCAGGAUCACGGAUAGAGGCCGGCCCCUCUCCCCCGGGACACAUCUGUCCCUCUGUCUGAAGGACGCCUUCAGAAAAGCCUUCUUGGAUACAGCUCCCUUCCUGGACCAGCCAGGUGAGUGUUUGGGGGGUGAGAACAAGUGGGUAGGAAUUAAUGAGUCCACAUGUCAAUUUCUGGCAGAGAAUAAAUGCGCACGGUAAGAGCACAAAUGUCUAGUUUUCAGACUCCAAGGGGGGUGGGGGGGAACACCUGAAACACACCAGCAAUGGAGAGAUGGAAUUCAAUUCCAAACUAAAAAUACACAUUAUUUAUCAUUAUCUAGAAGGAGGCUGGGAGAAGGCCAUUAGCGAGAGUUUUCUGGCUGGCGCGGUUCUCAAUUGAAGAGCAGCAGCCAGGAGCGCCAUGUCCUACAUUCCCCUUUGUCCCAGUCACGAGGCAACGACUCCACGGCCCCGCGGCUGCUCCCGCCGGAAAUGAUUUCCAGUUGCAAGGAGACUGGUGGGGAGGGAGGCACCAGGCUCCGAGGUGCCAGCUUCCUAAGGGCUGCUGAUUACACUGAUUUCAUGGUCGUCAAACAAGCUCAGAGAAGAUUCUGGAGUUUUGCAGAAUGGAAGUGAUACCUGAGAGGGGAGCUGCUGAGAGAAAAGGGCUCCAUGGGCUCAGUUUCAGAGGUUGCGGGGCCAGACGAGGGGCCCCUCCACUUCAGGCCUGUGGCAGGGAAGCACAGGGAGACAGGAAGUGUGGAGGGCAGAGGGCAAAGGGAGGAGGAGGAGGGGCCAGCUCCCCCCAACAACCUAAAGACCUCCCGCCAGGCCCCACCUUUUAAAGACCCACACCUCCAAUAUCACCACCCUGGCGACCAUGCCUGUCACACAUGGCCUGAGGGAGACACUUACCAUCCAACUAUAACAGUUCACGGUGCCUCACCAUUAGUCCUGAUGGUCCCCACACUCCAGCCAGCUGAUGUCCCUAACCAUCAGUGACUUUUUGACCUUGCUUUCCCAAGCUCCAUCUAUGAAGGACAGGAGGCUGCAAAGGUCUAGGAACGCCCUAAGAAUCAGACCAGGAGACCCAGCCCACCUGCCCCCAGGUGACCACACUCCUGCCCCACCUGGUCCCUGGAACUGCUUGGCAGGGGUCAAGGGAUGCCUCUGCUGCUGCGCUGCCUGACUCCCUUUUCAGAAAACCAACCUCAUCGAGCUAAAGUUCAGGUUCACCACUUCAAACCUGCUGUUCAACGGACCUUAAUAAAUAUGUCACCCAAUCAUCACGAUUGUGUGCUCACAAGGACA